UACGUAGGCAGCGAGCGUUGUUCGGAGUUACUGGGCGUAAAGGGUGUGUAGGCGGUUCUUUAAGUUUGGUGUGAAAUCUCCCGGCUCAACCGGGAGGGUGCGCCGAAUACUGAGGGACUAGAGUAUGGGAUGGGAAAGUGGAAUUCCUGGUGUAGCGGUGAAAUGCGUAGAUAUCAGGAGGAACACCUAUAGCGAAGGCAGCUUGCUGGGACGUUACUGACGCUAAGGCGCGAAAGCGUGGGGAGCGAACAGG
rnacentral:rRNA from 1 species